UGUUAAAAAAUUCAUCCAUUUUUUUUUUGUUAAAAUUGGUGAAGCUGACAGAAUAACUAAACAGUUACACGUGGUGUGUCAUGUGUGCCUUAUUUUGACAUACAGGGACCAAUUUUUAAUAGUAGAUUGGAUGAAAUUUUAAACA
rnacentral:pre_miRNA from 1 species